UCGUAAAAAAUUUAUUUCCACUUACAAAUAAAAAAAACAUACAUUCUUGAUUAUUUCAUAGAAAUAACCUUUGUCUCUUUACAUAAAACACGCAAUGGACAAAUAAAAAUAAUAUUAAUUGUAAGCAAUAUUUAUGGCAGUUAAAUUACGCAGAACCGGAGGCGCGAUAUUCUGCUGAUAUAAAUCGGUGUAGUGUGACAUUAAAUACGGUUCACCUUGAGAGAGGCGGUUGCGCAACAGCGGCUAGGCAGUACUUUCUAGCAAACACAACUCGACAGGUAAGCCGCUGCUGCUAUCGCCUCGCGAACAUCGCACCUCCGAGCUCAGAGCCAACUUUCCACUUAUCGUAUGGCGUACAAUGGAGUAUAAGAAGUGACUAGGACUACUACGAAUAAAACUGUAUCAAUAUCUUCGUUCCAAUUUCUUUACAACAAAAACCAGACUUUUAAGAGUUAACAUCACCGUAACAGGACACCUAUCAAAAUACAGUGAAAUAUACAUUGCGGUGCCUUCCAACGUUUUUUUUUAUUACUUUAAGUACCUAAUUUUGAUUACAUUUCACAAACUCGUGUAAACAGAUACAGCAACGGAGCGGGGUUAAUGGUUAACUGAGACAAUAGCACUGGGGAGUUCGUUUUCCCCCGCUCCUUGGUUAACAACACUUCUCUCUCUGCUACAAAUAUCAGUACGCUCGCGCGUGGCAGAGAGAAAACAAGAGAGAAGGAAACAAUAUAUAAACGUGUUUAUCAAAGGACAAAGGCUGUGUGGUAAUAGGUAACACAAUUCCCAUGGGCAGUCAAAAAUAUAAGCAGUAUUGCUCUGCGAGUCAGGGCCAGAAUAAAAUAAAAAUAAUUAUAUGUAUACUGUGGCAGUGAUUAUAAAAACCGAAUCUUAAAAAAAAGACGAAGCCUAUUUUUUUUCUUUAGUGGGGUCACGUCAUUGUGGGAGAGCAGCUACUGGAAGUAAAAUACAACACGGAAAUGCGAAAGAUGAAUUUCCCGUACUUUCAGCCUGACGACAGUUUUGCAAGAUACCGGGAUUGAGAUGGCUACGAUUGAUACAGUUCGUAUCGGGGAGUUCAGAUGAGUUCUUUAGACACUAACCGUGCACCUUGUACACGAAUAUUUAUGGAAAUUGUGACAUCGUGUGAUACUCCCCUGGGUAAUUAAUAGAACUUCAUCAGUAAACCUGCUUGAGUGGUUUUCAGGGUAUUUUGUAAUGUUGCAUAGGCAGGUCUAACGCUUUUUUUUUCUAAAGAUUAUACAUUAGCUCGUCAGUUAUAGAGAUAGGAUCCGCUGCGAUACUGACAAGCUCAUGAGCUAUGUUGAACAUUUUUUAAAAAAACUGUCAGGCUCCCCGUAAAAAAAUUUCCGUGCGCAGCUCGGAUUGCGCCGGGCACUUCCGUAUCGAGGGCAGCGCGUCCCAGUCGACCAGGUGGUAUGUGUGUAGCUAGGGACGGCCAGGGGUGGGGGGCGACCCCGAUCCCGCGCACCUGCAGGGCGCUGCGCGCUUUUGGCACAGCUGAGCCGCGCGUGCGUUGCGCUGUCCGUCUCCCUGUCCCUCUCUUCCUCCUCCUCCCCCUCCUCCCUCCUACGUCACGGCAGAGCUCCCGAAAACGGUGGGAGCCGGUGAGCGGAGGUUGUCGGUGCGGCCGCGCGGCCUGCGCCUCGCCGGCUGCCCUGGAGAGCUUGCUGGGGAAUUUAAUACGUGUGUGCAGUGCCCUUGGAACAAGAAAGAAGGAUCAGUCACAACAAAAGAUGAAAAGCUGUCAGUGUAGGAUACCUAGCAGACGGUCCUGCAAAACCGUAUAAUGCAAAAUCAAGGAUUGUCAGCAAACAUGACGUUAUCGUUUGAACAACGGAAAUGGGUGCUAAAGUGUUACUGGAAAACAGAGAAUGUGAGUGCUAUACUCCGACGUUGGAGAAUUGAAUUUGGAACACCACCACCGAGAAGAGUAACACUUACACGAAUA